GAGUUUGAUCGUGGCUCAGAGUGAACGCUGGCGGUAGGCCUAACACAUGCAAGUCGAACGGUAACAGGUCUUUCGGGAUGCUGACGAGUGGCGGACGGGUGAGGAACACAUCGGAAUCUGCUCAGUCGUGGGGGAUAACGCAUGGAAACGUGCGCUAAUACCGCAUACGACCUUCGGGUGAAAGCAGGGGAAUCUUUAGGGAUCCUUGCGCGAUUGAAUGAGCCGAUGUCGGAUUAGCUAGUUGGUAGGGUAAAAGCCUACCAAGGCGACGAUCCGUAGCUGGUCUGAGAGGAUGAUCAGCCACACUGGGACUGAGACACGGCCCAGACUCCUGCGGGAGGCAGCAGUGGGGAAUAUUGGACAAUGGGGGCAACCCUGAUCCAGCCAUACCGCGUGGGUGAAGAAGGCCUUCUGGGUUGUAAAGCCCUUUUGUUGGGGAAGAAAAACAACGGGUUAAUACCCCGUUGGUAUGACGGUACCCAAAGAAUAAGCACCGGCUAACUUCGUGCCAGCAGCCGCGGUAAUACGAAGGGUGCAAGCGUUACUCGGAAUUACUGGGCGUAAAGGGUGCGUAGGUGGUUGCGCCAGUCUGUCGUGAAAGCCCUGGGCUUAACCUGGGAAUGGCGAUGGAAACUGUGCAACUAGAGUGUGACAGAGGGUGGUGGAAUUCCUGGUGUAGCAGUGAAAUGCGUAGAGAUCAGGAGGAACAUUCGUGGCGAAGGCGGCCACCUGGGUCAACACUGACACUGAGGCACGUAAGCGUGGGGAGCAAACAGGAUUAGAUACCCUGGUAGUCCACGCCCUAAACGAUGCGAACUGGAUGUUGGGUCCAACUUGGGAUUCAGUAUCGAAGCUAACGCGUUAAGUUCGCCGCCUGGGGAGUACGGUCGCAAGACUGAAACUCAAAGGAAUUGACGGGGGCCCGCACAAGCGGUGGAGUAUGUGGUUUUAUUCGAUGCAACGCGCAGAACCUUACCUGGCCUUGAUAUGCACGGAACCUUUG
rnacentral:rRNA from 1 species